UGGGAUACAAUAAUGAUUAAGACCUGUACCCUCUGUUCACUGAGCUCAGUUUACACACAGAUGGAUAAGGAGAUAUCUCCAAUACGGUACAGAAGCUCAUAAAGUGAAAGGACAAAAAGGAAGACAAGUGGGGACCAGAAUCCUUAAGAACCACAUAUUUUAUCUCUUUAAAGGAAUUUUCCAUUUAAAAGAUGCUCAAGGCAUUUACUUCUUUAGUUACUCCACUUUCUUUCACAUUACGUAUUUCCCUUUCUGGCUCCUCCACCAAAGACGUAAAAAUGCUCAAGUCUUUCCUCCACGGCAAAAAUUGAGUUUUUGACUCCAUACUUCUCUCUCAUCGUCUGUUCUAUAAUUCUCCUUCCUUUUUAAGUCACAAUUCUGUACUUGUUUCUAAUUCCAUACUGACUAGUCACUGCUUAGCCCACUGCUCUUCAAGUUAGUUCUGAUAACUAGAACUACAAGAAACGUUGAGGGUACACAGGAAGAUGUCAUGCUCACUCAAUCCAGGUGAGAAGAUACAAAUUGCAAAGGAAAGGAUGUACUCAGUGUGUUCCAGAAUGGAGAGCAAGCCAGUAUGUCUGGAGCAUGGUGAAUACGUUGGGGAAUGGCAGGAAUUGAGCCUGAAGAGGUAGGCAGGAGUCCCAACACAUGGGUCUGUAGCUCUGAGCAGAGUUUGCAGUUUAUUCUAAGUACAAUGGGAGGCCAUGGGGUGGCAGCCAGGGGAGCGGGGGCUUCAGUGGGAGAGGGACAUAAUGUAAUUGAUGUUUUUAAAGGAUCACUGUUUGAAGAGUGGAGAAUGGAUUAACGGGUCCAAGAAUGGAAGCAGGCUAUUGCUAUAAUCCUUAAGGAUACAAAAGAAAAAUCCCAGUUGUUCAGCAGGGCAUGUCAUGAGUUCCUCUUCUGCUAGGGUCCUUGAAGCAGUCCAGUUGUCCAGGAUCCACCAUUUGCCAAGUGACAGCCCAGAUGCAAGGGUUCCAGAUCUACAGCAGUCAGGCUCAGGGGCUUCCCUGGCUUAAUAGCUUCUUUGCCUAAAGGAGCCAAUAUCUGUGUCACAACUCCAAGGACUUGCUUCCAGUUUCCCAGGAACACUGAUGGCAAUUACAAGAAUCGCCACACUCAGGGAAGCCCCAAAGCACGCUUUCCCACCAGGUAGUUA
rnacentral:lncRNA from 1 species